CGGGGGGGGCUAGCGUUGUUCGGAAUUACUGGGCGUAAAGGGCGCGUAGGCGGUCUGCUAAGUUGGAUGUGAAAACUCUGGGCUUAACCCAGAGCCUGCAUUCAAUACUGACAGGCUAGAGUUCUGGAGGGGAUAGCGGAAUUCCUGGUGUAGCGGUGAAAUGCGUAGAUAUCAGGAGGAACACCGGUGGCGAAGGCGGCUAUCUGGACAGAGUCUGACGCUGAGGCGCGAAAGCUAGGGGAGCAAACAGGAUUAGAUACCCUGGUAGUCCUAGCCCUAAACGAUGGAUACUUGGUGUAACUGGGAUUGAAUCCAGUUGUGCCGAAGCUAACGCAUUAAGUAUCCCGCCUGGGGAGUACGGUCGCAAGGCUG
rnacentral:rRNA from 1 species